AUUAUCUUUGUGCUAUUUCAUUGUUGUGUCAUUUUGUUUAAUUAUAUUAUUCUAUUGCAUGGCAUUUGUCUCUCAAACACAUAGUGGAUUAGGCAGCUUUCGUUCAUGAAGAUACGGUGAAAAGGAGUAAGGAGAAGUUUGGGAGAGUCAGCCGGUCCAUGGAACUUGUAAUGACUCAGCGCUGAUCUAUGCCAGAUGUAAAACCCCUGCUGUCAUUGGUGAGGCUACCACUGCUAUU